rnacentral:lncRNA from 10 species
CAACUGCCUCUCACUUCCCAAGACAAAUAAACCCACUUGACCUUGAUGUGCUUUUUGUGAAUACAUUGUGAGAUUGGACUUUCGGAUAUUUUAUUUAGAAUUUCUGCGUCUAUAUUCUUUGGGAGGUACACGGAGCGCCUUCUUUUCGUUUAGAGCAUUGGUGUCUCCACAUUAGAAGCAUCCUAUGUAGCUGUUCUGCUUGCAGCUGCCCAAGUCUGCCUGGGCCUCCUGCAUGAGGUCAUGAGUCUUAAUAAAGCCACUGACCCACACAUUUGGAAUCGUACUGACUUUUCACAACUAACAGCCAACACAUUGCCAAGAAGCAAUUCAAUUGUUGAGGAUAUCACAUCAUGCCAGGGAAAGAGAGAUGGAAUUCAGAAAGCCUGGGAUAUUGCAGGUUUAUCCUGACAGUAACCUCUCCCCAGGUCGGAAGACCUCUCAGGCUCUGUUUCUAGGGAGGCUGACCUGCUGACAAUGCUCCUAGCUGGAUUUUGUAAGCGGUCUUGAAUAAAGUCUUCCUCACUGUUUUAACAAGAGACAAGGUAAUGUUCAUUGAACAUCUUAUACAAAGAGGAAACCUGGCACAGAAGUGGACAUGCACUCGGAGGGAAAAUGCCAAGUGACAAUGAAGGCAGAGAUCAGGUGAUGCAUCUGCAAGCUGAGCAACAUCAGGAAUUGCCAAAAACCACCAGGAGCUGGAGAGGCCUGGGACAGAGCCUCCCACGGAGCCUCAAGGGAGCCAGCCCUGCCCACGCCUUGAUCUUUGACGUCCGACCUCAAGAACUAUGAAAGAACCCAUUUCUGUUGGUGAAGGCUCCCCGUCUGUGGUCCCCUGUCCUGGCAGCCCUAGGAACCUGACCUCUGGUCCCUCUGCAUCCCUGGCAUCACUCUGCCUCCCUCUCUUUUUCUCCAGUGAAUCCAACACACUCUCAGUGAGACAGCCAGGUGGCAAGGGGUUCUCGGAGAAACUCCAGCCGGCCUGCUCGCUGGGCAUGUACACUGGAGUGGAGCCACAGAAGUUCACGGUGUUUGCAGCAGGGAGGAGCCUGGCCACUCCUCUUCCUGGUUGGAACCUGGAAUUUAUUUUGUGAGGCGGGAAGCCUAUACUGGGGAGACUCUUGCUCUGCUGAGUCCCCAUUCCCCCUUUAUUUUCCUUUUUGCCCAAU